AUAAAAUAGCAUAUAGUAAGUCGUAUAAUACCGGGAAUAUGGCCUGGAAGUUUCUACCGGAGCACCUUAAAUGCUUCGACUACGAUUCCGCGUAAAAGAUAU
rnacentral:ncRNA from 2 species